rnacentral:rRNA from 1 species
GAGUUUGAACCUGGCUCAGGACGAACGCUGGCGGCGUGCCUAAUACAUGCAAGUCGAGCGAGCUUGCCUAGAUGAUUUUAGUGCUUGCACUAAAUGAAACUAGAUACAAGCGAGCGGCGGACGGGUGAGUAACACGUGGGUAACCUGCCCAAGAGACUGGGAUAACACCUGGAAACAGAUGCUAAUACCGGAUAACAACACUAGACGCAUGUCUAGAGUUUGAAAGAUGGUUCUGCUAUCACUCUUGGAUGGACCUGCGGUGCAUUAGCUAGUUGGUAAGGUAACGGCUUACCAAGGCAAUGAUGCAUAGCCGAGUUGAGAGACUGAUCGGCCACAUUGGGACUGAGACACGGCCCAAACUCCUACGGGAGGCAGCAGUAGGGAAUCUUCCACAAUGGACGAAAGUCUGAUGGAGCAACGCCGCGUGAGUGAAGAAGGGUUUCGGCUCGUAAAGCUCUGUUGGUAGUGA